AAAAAAAACAAAACAAAAAAAAAGGUUAGGAUUGACAGGAUGCAGGUGUAGUUUGAAGCCUGCAGAUCUGAGUCUCUAAAGCUGCGUGUAUAAGCUUACAAAGCUAUAAAGAAAUCCCUCCUUUGUGUUUUCUGUUGACAGGUAGAACCUGCUUUGCGUGCUUCUCGCUGAUCAUGGUGACCUCAUGCAUGUAGUGAACUGUUACCAAGUUCCCUCAUAAUGUUGUACGUCUCAGUGGUGAUGUGUCACUGAGUGUGAUAUCAGUGUGUGAACGUGACUCGCUGCUUAUCUGCAGCAAAUCUUCAAAGCAUUUAAAAGACUCAUCUGGGGACUAUGGUGGGAUAUGGUUUCUGCUGAAAAUAAACCCAAGAAGAAAGGAAAAGAUGAAAAGAAAAACCUCUGCAGUGCCUGGGAGGGUUUCGAGGCAGACAACAGAACAAAUGAUGAUAAUGUGCUUUAUGGAUGCUGGAAGGCUAAACAGCAGAUUAAGCACAAAUGCAGAUAUCUGGAUGAGAAGAACGUCGUGGUGGCGGAUCAUUUACGAAGGUGUCCCUGGUCCUCUGGCUCAGAGCGGAGUGAUGUGGCAGAAAAAAUACCCCCGGGAUUGGACGCAUCUCAAGAUAAUACUCUCUCCACUACAUCUCCUGUGGUCCUUCCGGCAGAUCCGAGCCCUUUGAGACAAAGCCCUUCUGACACUGACUGUUUCCCAGCAAAUAACAAUGCACUUGUUAACCCGAUGAUCCAUAAACAAAGUAUCAUUUAUGGUCUCAGCCCGAUGGGAACAAGCAGCUUAGAAGUGAAGAAGCAUAGCCUGCCCUUGAUACGAUGGGCUCCUGCUGCAUCUCGGGUGCUGAUGCUGGAGGAGCCCGUGGCCUGGCGAUGUAAAGGAUUGGCUACAGUGAACCGUGAAGCAAGGCCUGCUGAACCUUCACAGCUCUGGAAAAGGGCAUCUGGCAAGAAGCUGGAAUGGGGCCAUGGGCGGCCGGCCAGGCUGGCACAUCUGCAGGUGCAGUCACCCAAAAACGGCCCGUCUGUGGCCAGAAAAAGGCCCGUGAUCCAGAGAGAGGCCAGGCUAACUGCGGGUCACGGAGGGGUACAGGUGCAGGACAGUCAUGUGGAACAGAACUUCAGUCAAAAAGCAGCAGAGACUAAACAUAGAGACCUGCCACACGACAGCGAUGGGUCAGCCUCAGGAGUACCAACGAACAAACAAGCACUUUAUAACUCUUUGGAUCUUUGGAGCCCAACACAAGCAGAGGCAGGACUCAGCUCAGCACAACUGGUACAACAAGGAGGCAUCGCCACGGCCUGCUCCGAUGUGAGUCAGUGGAUGGAUGUGCUGUGUCAGUCUGGAUACCAAGGAAACAGCAAGUCCUCCACCGGAUUCCGGGACGUCACCUUAUUCCACGUUCUCCAAAUUCUACAGAGCAAACCAGUCCAUUUCCCACAAGUCGGGGGUCAGAGACGUCUCGAGGUUCUUUAG
rnacentral:lncRNA from 1 species